rnacentral:rRNA from 1 species
CCUACGGGUGGCAGCAGUGGGGAAUAUUGCACAAUGGGCGCAAGCCUGAUGCAGCCAUGCCGCGUGUGUGAAGAAGGCCUUCGGGUUGUAAAGCACUUUCAGCGGGGAGGAAGGCGUUAAGGUUAAUAACCUUGUCGAUUGACGUUACCCGCAGAAGAAGCACCGGCUAACUCCGUGCCAGCAGCCGCGGUAAUACGGAGGGUGCAAGCGUUAAUCGGAAUUACUGGGCGUAAAGCGCACGCAGGCGGUCUGUCAAGUCGGAUGUGAAAUCCCCGGGCUCAACCUGGGAACUGCAUUCGAAACUGGCAGGCUAGAGUCUUGUAGAGGGGGGUAGAAUUCCAGGUGUAGCGGUGAAAUGCGUAGAGAUCUGGAGGAAUACCGGUGGCGAAGGCGGCCCCCUGGACAAAGACUGACGCUCAGGUGCGAAAGCGUGGGGAACAAACAGGAUUAGAUACCCGGGUAGUC